UCCUCGUUUAAGCGAGGCAGUCUGUCCAGAGUGCUCCCCUCUCUCGAGGGGGUGGCAACAGGACACAAGGGUUGCGCUCGUUGCGGGACUUAACCCAACAUCUCACGACACGAGCUGACGACAGCCAUGCAGCACCUGUGCAUGCUUCCCUUGCGGGAUCGUCCCACUUUCAUGGUUCUACCACAUGCAUGUCAAGGCCAGGUAAGGUUCUUCGCGUUGCAUCGAAUUAAGCCACAUACUCCACCGCUUGUGCAGGCCCCCGUCAAUUUCUUUGAGUUUUAAUCUUGCGACCGUACUUCCCAGGCGGCGCAUUUAUCGCGUUAGCUUCGCCACAAACGGGGUCGAUGCCUCCUACACCUAGUGCCCACCGUUUACGGCUAGGACUAC
rnacentral:misc_RNA from 1 species